AUGCACCAGAUACUAGCCUGACAGUCUGCUAUGUCCCACAUGUUAUACAGUGGGGUCUUCUGUGGCUGCAUGGCUUCAAACGGUGCAAGAACAUGAAAAGUCCUGAGAUUUAAGCUUCUCAGUGAAAGCAACACUGAUGAGUUAUGGCUCAGAGGCACAAAU